GACGAACGCUGGCGGCGUGCUUAACACAUGCAAGUCGAACGGAGUACCCGGAAUCGAAGCUUCGGCAGAUUUUCUGGACUACUUAGUGGCGAACGGGUGAGUAACGCGUGAGAAACCUGCCUUUCAGUGGGGGGACAACAGUUGGAAACGACUGCUAAUACCGCAUAACGCAUUUAGGGGGCAUCCCUUGAAUGCCAAAGCUUUAUGUGCUGAAAGAUGGUCUUGCGUCUGAUUAGCUAGAUGGCGGGGUAACGGCCCACCAUGGCGACGAUCAGUAGCCGGUCUGAGAGGAUGAACGGCCACAUUGGGACUGAGAUACGGCCCAGACUCCUACGGGAGGCAGCAGUGGGGAAUAUUGGGGCAAUGGGGGAAACCCUGACCCAGCAACGCCGCGUGAAGGAAGAAGGCCU
rnacentral:rRNA from 1 species